rnacentral:rRNA from 1 species
AUUGAACGCUGGCGGCAGGCUUAACACAUGCAAGUCGAGCGAGCGGCGGACGGGUGAGUAAUGUCUGGGAAACUGCCUGAUGGAGGGGGAUCACUACUGGAAACGGUAGCUAAUACCGCAUACCAUCAGAUGUGCCCAGAUGGGAUUAGCUAGUCGGUUGGGUAAUGGCUCACCUACGCGACGAUCCCUAGCUGGUCUGAGAGGAUGACCAGCAACACAGGAAAUGAGCCACGGUCCAGACUCCUACGGGAGGAAGAAGUGGAGAAUAUUGCACAAUGGGCGCAAGCCUGAUACAGCCAUGACGCGUGUGUGAAGAAGGCCUUCGGGUUGUAAAGCACUUUCAGCGAGGAGGCGUUACUCGCAGAAGAAGCACCGGCUAACUCCGUGCCAGCAGCCGCGGUAAUAC